GAAUCUUUGUGACUGUGUGACAGUUCUGGGAUCUUCAGGCUGGAUUUGUAACUAAUAGUGAUGGAAACAAGAGACAGGAGACCUGCAGGUUUUAAUUCUGAGGUCAGGAUUCUCAUCAGGUAAAAUCUGGUUGAACGCGUGGAACAGGGGCAAAUAGAAUGUGCAAUUAAAAAAGGUUUGCUGGUAUCGCUAGUCUGACCAUGCAUCCUAAGUCUAAUGAGUGCACUAAAAAGUGAAAAAAAAAGCCAUUUGAAUGGACUCAUUCUCUUUUUUGGCUAUAUUGUAAUUUUCCCUUCUUUUCCUUCAUUAGUGUCUACAUUAAAAGGGAAUACACCAAUGGGUAAAGAUUUGAUAACUUCACAGCAUACCUGCAAUGACAGUGUUGUUUAGACUUUGAGCAAUUGGUCAAUGUUAUAAAUCUAAUUUAAGAAAAAGUGAAUGACAGUAGGCCUUAAUUAAUGCUUGAGAAGAUUAAUUGUUUCAAGGGGAGUGUAUCAAUUUUAAUACUUUUCUCUUUUAAAUCUGGAAUUAUUUUGCCACAGGGCACUACAGCUUUGAAAUAUGCAAAGCAUUUCCACAUAAUUUUUAGUAUUGUGGCGCUUAUAGUGCUCAUACUAUUAGAGUGAUGUUUCCCUUUAAGUGUCUUGUUUACACAUGCACUGUGUAUUUGUUGACUAAUUUAAGCUUAUAGAAAAUGUUGCAUGCCUGAGGAUAUUUUCA